rnacentral:rRNA from 1 species
UACAGAGGCCUCGAGCGUUAGGCGGAAUCACUGGGCUUAAAGCGUGUGUAGGCGGACUUCUAAGUACCUUGUGAAGUCCCACGGCUUACCCGUGGAACGGCUGGGUAUACUGGUUGUCUUGAGCCAGCUAGGGGCUACCGGAACAAAUGGUGGAGCGGUGAAAUGCGUAGAUAUCAUUUGGAACGCCAAUGGUGAAAACAGGUAGCUGGGGCUGUGCUGACACUGAGACACGAAAGCCAGGGGAGCAAACGGG